UACGUAGGGGGCAAGCGUUGUCCGGAUUUAUUGGGCGUAAAGAGCGUGUAGGCGGCCAGGUAGGUCUGCUGUGAAAACUCGAGGCUUAACCUCGAGCUGUCGGCGGAAACCAUCUGGCUAGAGUCCGGAAGAGGAGAAUCGAAUUCCCGGUGUAGCGGUGAAAUGCGCAGAUAUCGGGAAGAAUACCCGUGGCGAAGGCGGCCCCCUGGGCCGUACCUGACGCUGAGGCGCGAAGGCUAGGGGAGCGAACGGG
rnacentral:rRNA from 1 species